AUUCUGUAGUUGAAACAAAAGUUAGGUUAGCAUCAAUCAGCGAAGGGGCGAUGCAGCCUAAAAAACUCUCCAUCUUUUCAAGAAACUUGCACACACAGAGAGAGUGGGAGUGGGAGUAGGAGGGAGAGAGAGAGAAAGAGAGAGAGAGAAAAAGAGAGAGAGAGAGAGAGAAGCAAAGAGACAAGGUGAGUUAAACGUGGAACAAUGAUGGGAGGUUAUUGGACAGAAGAGGUAGAAGGAAACAGAGGAGCUCAGUAUAUAAAUUAAGUCCCCCAGCAGUCUAUGUCUAUUGCAGCUUAAAAGAAAACUUCACAGAUUUUCGGGAUUGACAAAAACAAACUCGGGUAAUAUUUAGGAAUGAAGGGACAAUCAGAUUGCUCCAUAAUUUCUCCAGAGAGAGAAAAAUCUCCAGAGAGGUUAUCAUUUAUUCCUCCAGUAAAACGUCUCUGCAGAUGGUUUGCCGUGUGCUCAAAACCUACAACUAGUGCUUCCUGGUUUUCGCUGUACCUGUGUACCUGAGAGGCGGGGCCAUGAUAAGAAGGGGUGGAGCCAGCCUGCUGGAGCACAACUGCUGUCUGCCAUUGUUUUCCUUGCAUACCUCUAUAGCACUGAUAUCCAUUGGCCGGAGGUCCUGCUGUAGAUUUAGGAGAGUACAGAACAGUCUGAAGUUCAUGGUUAGUUGUAUGAGCCAGAGUACAGCGCUGACGAGGCUGCCUGUAAGCAACCGGCAACAGAGCCCAGAGCCACAGGCGGGAUGCAUCGUGUCUCUGCACUGCAGGACAGACCAGAAAAAAACAGCCGCGACAGAACGGUCAAAAGAGCACUGAGUAAGUCAUAUAUUUUUAUUGUUUUAACUUGCGCUGUGAAGUUUGAGUAAAGUUACGAGCUGCUGUUUAUGGUGUUUUAGACUGUUGGAAGUAGAAUUAGCUUAUGUUGGUAACGCUAGAUUUUAUAUUAGCUCUGACUGGCUGGCAGCAACAAAUUCAAUAUUACUAAUUCUACUUACAACUUCAUAUUUUAUAUAAUUAUGCCUCUUAAUAUGAUUCCUCUUGGAUUAAGCUGCGGGUUCUACUGCUGACAGGGGAAAGUGUGUGUUAUGGAUCAUUAGUUUUGUACUGUUUGUAAACAUAGCAGCAGUCGAAGCUUAGUUUCGACUAGCUUCAAGAUGCUAAGGACAAACCAGAAAAAAACAACUGGACAGAACAGUGGAAUGAGCAGUGAGUAAGAUCAGCCGGUCUCGUAUAGUCACUGGGACUCUUGGAAGGGACAAACGUCUUGUUUUUCCAGCCACUAACAGCAGACAAAGAAAAGAAGUCUUUGGCCAAAUGAGGAAUAGAAUAGAGUGCCUUUAUUAGUCCCAUGGCGGGGAAAUUUCAUCAGCAGCCAGCUUGACCGUCACGGAAUCCGACUGUGGAAACAAGUUGCAAUACAAAACAAUACAAAACAAAAACACACUCUCACACAGUGGCAUAGAGUACAAGUGUAAACCUUGCUAGAAUUUUUUCUUAGAUACAUCAGGACAGAUAGAUAAG